UAUCCGUAGGUGAACCUGCGGAGGGAUCAUUACAGAGUUCUCGCCCUCGCGGGUAGAUCUCCCACCCACUGUUAUCGUUACUGUGUUGCUUUGGCGGGCCGCCGGGCCCCGCUCGGCCGCCGGCUCCGGCUGGCGCGCGCCCGCCAGAGGCCCAGCAAACUCUGAAUGUUAGUGUCGUCUGAGUACUAUAUAAUAGUUAAAACUUUCAACAACGGAUCUCUUGGUUCUG
rnacentral:misc_RNA from 1 species